rnacentral:rRNA from 1 species
GGUUAAGUGAAUAAGGGCGCACGGUGGAUGCCUUGGCACUAGGAGCCGAUGAAGGACGGGACUAACACCGAUAUGCUUUGGGGAGCUGUAAGUAAGCUAUGAUCCAGAGAUUUCCGAAUGGGGGAACCCAAUAUCUUUUAUAGGAUAUUACUUUUCAGUGAAUACAUAGCUGAUUAGAGGUAGACGCAGAGAACUGAAACAUCUUAGUACCUGCAGGAAGAGAAAGAAAAUUCGAUUCCCUGAGUAGCGGCGAGCGAAACGGGAAACAACACCUAGGAGGAUCCUGAGUACGGCGGAACACGAGAAAUUCCGUCGGAAUCCGCGGGGACCAUCCCGCAAGGCUAAAUACUCCCUAGUGACCGAUAGUGAACCAGUACCGUGAGGGAAAGGUGAAAAGCACCCCGGAAGGGGAGUGAAAUAGAUCCUGAAACCGUGUGCCUACAACAAGUCAAAGCUCGUUAAUGAGUGAUGGCGUGCCUUUUGUAGAAUGAACCGGCGAGUUACGAUUGCAUGCGAGGUUAAGUCGAAGAGACGGAGCCGCAGCGAAAGCGAGUCUGAAUAGGGCGAAUGAGUAUGUAGUCGUAGACCCGAAACCAUGUGAUCUACCCAUGUCCAGGUUGAAGGUGCGGUAAAACGCACUGGAGGACCGAACCCACGUACGUUGAAAAGUGCGGGGAUGAGGUGUGGGUAGCGGAGAAAUUCCAAACGAACUUGGAGAUAGCUGGUUCUCUCCGAAAUAGCUUUAGGGCUAGCCUCGGAAUUGAGAAUGAUGGAGGUAGAGCACUGUUUGGACUAGGGGCCCAUCUCGGGUUACCGAAUUCAGAUAAACUCCGAAUGCCAUUCAUUUAUAUCCGGGAGUCAGACUGCGAGUGAUAAGAUCCGUAGUCGAAAGGGAAACAGCCCAGACCACCAGCUAAGGUCCCAAAAUAUAUGUUAAGUGGAAAAGGAUGUGGGGUUGCACAGACAACUAGGAUGUUGGCUUAGAAGCAGCCACCAUUUAAAGAGUGCGUAAUAGCUCACUAGUCGAGUGACCCUGCGCCGAAAAUGUACCGGGGCUAAACAUAUUACCGAAGCUGUGGACUACACCAUUAGGUGUAGUGGUAGGAGAGCGUUCUAAGGGCGUUGAAGGAGAAUCCUGUCCACCGUAUGACUAAGGUUUCCUGGGGAAGGCUCGUCCGCCCAGGGUUAGUCGGGACCUAAGCCGAGGCCGAUAGGCGUAGGCGAUGGACAACAGGUUGAUAUUCCUGUACCAGUUGUUUUUGUUUGAGCAAUGGAGGGACGCAGUAGGCUAAGGAAUGCAUGCGAUUGGAAGUGCAUGUCCAAGCAAUGAGUCUUGAGUAGAGUUAAAUGCUUUACUCUUUAAGGACAAGUUGUGACGGGGAGCGAAAUAAUAGUAGCGAAGUUCCUGAUGUCACACUGCCAAGAAAAGCUUCUAGUGAGAAAACAACUGCCCGUACCGUAAACCGACACAGGUAGUCGAGGAGAGUAUCCUAAGGUGAGCGAGCGAACUCUCGUUAAGGAACUCGGCAAAAUGACCCCGUAACUUCGGGAGAAGGGGUGCUGACUUCGGUCAGCCGCAGUGAAUAGGCCCAAGCGACUGUUUAUCAAAAACACAGGUCUCUGCAAAAUCGUAAGAUGAAGUAUAGGGGAACGGUCCUAAGGUAGCGAAAUUCCUUGUCGGGUAAGUUCCGACCCGCACGAAAGGCGUAACGAUUUGGGCACUGUCUCAACGAGAGACUCGGUGAAAUUUUAGUACCUGUGAAGAUGCAGGUUACCCGCGACAGGACGGAAAGACCCCAUGGAGCUUUACUGUAGUUUGAUAUUGAGUGUUUGUACCACAUGUACAGGAUAGGUAGGAGCCGAUGAGACCGGAACGCUAGUUUCGGAGGAGGCGCUGGUGGGAUACUACCCUUGUGUUAUGAACCCUCUAACCCGCACCACUAAUCGUGGUGGGAGACAGUGUCAGAUGGGCAGUUUGACUGGGGCGGUCGCCUCCUAAAAGGUAACGGAGGCGCCCAAAGGUUCCCUCAGAAUGGUUGGAAAUCAUUCGAAGAGUGUAAAGGCAGAAGGGAGCUUGACUGCGAGACCUACAAGUCGAGCAGGGACGAAAGUCGGGCUUAGUGAUCCGGUGGUUCCGCAUGGAAGGGCCAUCGCUCAACGGAUAAAAGCUACCCUGGGGAUAACAGGCUUAUCUCCCCCAAGAGUCCACAUCGACGGGGAGGUUUGGCACCUCGAUGUCGGCUCGUCGCAUCCUGGGGCUGUAGUCGGUCCCAAGGGUUGGGCUGUUCGCCCAUUAAAGCGGCACGCGAGCUGGGUUCAGAACGUCGUGAGACAGUUCGGUCCCUAUCCGUCGCGGGCGUUGGAAAUUUGAGAGGAGCUGUCCUUAGUACGAGAGGACCGGGAUGGACUUACCGCUGGUGUACCAGUUGUUCUGCCAAGGGCAUUGCUGGGUAGCUAUGUAGGGAAGGGAUAAACGCUGAAAGCAUCUAAGUGUGAAGCCCACCUCAAGAUGAGAUUUCCCAUUUCUUUAAGAAAGUAAGACCCCUGAGAGAUGAUCAGGUAGAUAGGUUGGAAGUGGAAGGCUAGUGAUAGUUGGAGCGGACCAAUACUAAUCGGUCGAGGACUUAACCAA